rnacentral:rRNA from 1 species
AUUGAACGCUGGCGGCAGGCCUAACACAUGCAAGUCGAGCGGAUGAAGGGAGCUUGCUCCUGGAUUCAGCGGCGGACGGGUGAGUAAUGCCUAGGAAUCUGCCUGGUAGUGGGGGAUAACGUCCGGAAACGGGCGCUAAUACCGCAUACGUCCUGAGGGAGAAAGUGGGGGAUCUUCGGACCUCACGCUAUCAGAUGAGCCUAGGUCGGAUUAGCUAGUUGGUGGGGUAAAGGCCUACAAAGGCGACGAUCCGUAACUGGUCUGAGAGGAUGAUCAGUCACACUGGAACUGAGACACGGUCCAGACUCCUACGGGAGGCAGCAGUGGGGAAUAUUGGCCAAUGGGCGAAAGCCUGAUCCAGCCAUGCCGCGUGUGUGAAGAAGGUCUUCGGAUUGUAAAGCACUUUAAGUUGGGAGGAAGGGCAGUAAGUUAAUACCUUGCUGUUCUGACGUUACCAACAGAAUAAGCACCGGCUAACUUCGUG